rnacentral:ncRNA from 2 species
GCUGAUAGACCAAUUGCAGGUCCCGGGGGUGUUUGCUCCGGGAUAGACAAAUGGGAACGCGGUUGAAAUCCGCGACGGUCGCGCCGCUGUGAGCGCCUGCUCCGAUCAACGGAUCGGAAAUCCGAGAGACGUGUUGGCCACUGUUCGAGGCUGAGGAUCAGCAUCGGACGGGAAGGGGUCUCGAGGUAAGACGCAAGUCAGAAAACCUGCCUGUAGUUGAUUGCACGU